GUUUGUUAUAUAUGCAGAUCUUCCGGGGAAAAUGUAUUUUUGAGUACUCCAGACAAUUGAAACUAGUGAGCACGCUGUCUGGAGAAAGCAUCUGUAACCGCAGCCAAAAGAGGAACAAGAUUUCCGACAUUGUUUCAAGACAUGUGUUUGAAGCAUGGGUUCCCAUCACUUUCGGAGCAGAAUUUUAUAAAUCCUUGGACUGUUGCUGCUGCUCCUUUGACAAGGCCCAUCAUCAGAAUACCAGCUCUACUGGCAACUACACAGAUAAUGUUAAAAGUAUCCUGUCAAGCUGUUUUGUUCAGAUGGAGUUCUUCAUUUUCACUACUCCUCAUGUUUAGCCUGGAAAUAAAAGCUGACAGGCUGGAUGCAGCGCUGAUGUUGAUGGGGAGGUGUUUGGCUGCACCACCACUGCACCAGAGUCUGAAUAAGAGGGAAGAAUCAGGUUUCCGCUCA